GCGGAUGUGGCUCAGUGGUAGAGCAUCGCCUUGCCAAGGCGAGCGUCGCGAGUUCGAAUCUCGUCAUCCGCUCCA
rnacentral:tRNA from 1 species